AACGAACGCUGGCGGCGUGCCUAACACAUGCAAGUCGUGCGAGAAAGUUCCUUCGGGAGCGAGUAAAGCGGCGCACGGGUGAGUAACACGUAGGUAACCUGCCCCCCAGUCUGGAACAACUAGAGGAAACUCUAGCUAAUGCCGGAUGAGACCACGAUCCCUUCGGGGGUUGCGGCCAAAGAUGGCCUCUACUUGUAAGCUAUCGCUGAGGGAUGGGCCUGCGGGCCAUUAGCUUGUUGGUGAGGUAACGGCUCACCAAGGCUGUGAUGGCUAGCUGGUCUGAGAGGAUGACCAGCCACACUGGGACUGAGACACGGCCCAGACUCCUACGGGAGGCAGCAGUGGGAAUAUUGCGCAAUGGGCGAAAGCCUGACGCAGCGACGUCGCGUGGGUGAUGAAGGCC
rnacentral:rRNA from 1 species